AGACCAGAUGAUGAAAAUUGAUUUUAAUCUCACGAUGGUCAUCAGAGACUUUGUGUCGAUGUUGAUUCAAAUCUUUUUGAUGGUU
rnacentral:snoRNA from 1 species